rnacentral:lncRNA from 1 species
CGAGAGUCCGUCUUUUUAAGAAAAGGCAAGAUAAUGAAUAAGCAAAAUAAUUAAAAGAUGUUUAAAAAUACAAAAAGUGUAUUUCCUAAGUCCGAACAAUUUUUAUUUUAUGCAUAUGAAUAUUUUGCCUGCAUGUAGCUCUGUGUGCCAUGGAGCCUAUGGCGGCCAUACAAGGGUGUCCGACCACCUAGCACUGGCAGUACAGACAGGUGUGAGUUGUGUGAAGUGCUCCGCCAUGGCCAGUGAGGUCCUACAUCUUUUUCUUUAUUUUUGGAGCUGGGGACCGAACCCAGGGCCUUGCGCAUGAGGUCCUACAUCUUAACACUGUGUCCUAGUUACCUGUUCAGGCUGGAAGUGUCCCUCAGACUGCUUUAUAUGGUGACUGCUCUGGCCUUUUCUCUCCUAAGGGGAAUGCCUGGGUGGCGCUCUGUACUGGAAGGACCUCGCCGUCAUUGCCAAAAAGAUUGGGUUCUGCCCUCCACGUUUGGUCACUGCCAAUAUUAUUACGGUUGGAAACAAGGAACUAGAAAGGGUUCUUGGUAAGAAACCACAGCAGAGGUGCUGUGACCGCAGUGUGCAUGGUUUCAACUGGGGGAUUAGCUUCUCCGAGAGUCUCAUCCAGGGAAACUGUUCAUCUCCCGGUGUCCACCUUGUCUCCUGAAUAAUUCCAGCCCCUUCCCCAGGGUGGCAUUGAAUAAAGUAUCUGGAAGCCAAUCAGGAAAUGGACUGCAGUGCCCAGAGAGAUAAUGAAUGGCUCACAGUCCGCUCUGUCUUCCUCUGUCGAGUGCUGCUGGGUGCUGCAAGGGAGCCCUGUGUGUGUCUGCUUCCAGGUGACUGUCGCUUCGUGUCUGCCACAUUUCGCCUCUUCAAACUCCCUAAGACAGAGCCAGCCGGAAGAUGCCAAGUUGUUUACAAUGGAGGAAUCAUGGGGCACGAAAAGGAACUAAUUUUCGAUGCAAAUUUUACAUUCAAGGUAAAAAAAAAAAAAAAAAA